rnacentral:lncRNA from 1 species
AGAUGGAGUUUUGCUCUGUCACCCAGGCUGGAGGGCAAUGACACCACCAUAGCUCACUGGAGCCUGGAGCUCCUGGGCUCACAUGAUCCUCCCACCUCAGCCUCCCAGGUAGCUGGGACUACAGCCACACACCACUGUGGUGGGCUCACAGGUGGUGUCAGGACUGAAGUGAACUCACUGUAGGACGCCCAGCUGGUUUCCAAGAAUUGGUCGAUGUGGGAGAAACGCCCCGCUUUGGUGUCAGAAGUGUUGUGUCUCAGUAAAUUAUGGAGACUACUGCAAAAUUCAAUAAAUGCUCGCACCGGAAAGGACAGUGGAAAAUCCCAAACUUUUAAAGCUUGCCCAGGAAUAGGAAAGCUUUCUUCCAGGCGGUUAGUCUCAUGGCUUACCCACUAGGUCCCAUUCUCCAUUGGGGAUAUAGCCACUGAUAUCUGCCUCCUGCAUCUGCAGAUCCAAGGACCAGCCUCCGUAAGACCAGGACCCAAACUUCAGUUUGCAGUGCUGCACAUCAAAGGGAAACCAGCGUACAUCGAUGUAGCAGGAACUCUUGAAUAUGCCUGUGUGGGUGAUGGAAACAGAAGACUGAAACGGAAGCUGACUGAGAUGUGCUGAAAAUACACAGCAGUUCCUUCAGCCGGUUCCGCCCUCCGCACUGCAGCUAACACAGUCCAGAGCAAACGGAAUCUGUCUUUUUAUUUAUUCGCAAAAUCUGUAAAACAGAAUCUCAGCUAAGCUUCACUGUCUUUUAAAAUCCAAACGUAACACUGACAUGCUCUCUCAAAGACUGUUUUGUGGGCUUUUUGUGCAAAAAGUUAGCUCUAUAAUCUGCAUUUACCAUGAGCAUCUUCAGACUCUAAAUAAUAAAAGUAAAGAAUGCAAAAUAUCUCAGAGAAGUUGAUAACCCUGAUGAUGAAGUUAGAAAUAGAAUCUAAAAGGUGUGUGUGUGUGUGUGUGUGUCUGUUUGGUGCGGGGUGAGGUAGGCAUUUUCUUUAGGUUAAAAAUGGGAAGAACACAUGAUUAUCGAGAAAUACAAUCUAGAAUUCUGGUUAAAGCUAGAAUUUUAACUAAUUUAAAUUCUAGAUGAAGAACAGAACAAGCUGGGCACAGUGUCUCAUGCCCGUAAUCCCAGUGACUCUAAGACAUUGACGUGGGAGGGUCACUUGAGACUAGGAGUUUGAGACCGGACUGGGCAACAUAGUGAGACAUCUCUAAUAAAAAAAAUUAGCUGGGUGAGGUGAUGCAUGCCUGUAGUCCCAGCUACUCAGAAGGCUAAGGCAGGAGCAUUGCUUGAGCCCAGGAGUUUGAGGCUAAAGUGAAGUGAGCUAUGAUCGAGCCCCUGCACUCCAGCCUGGGGAACACACCUAGAAUCUGUCUGUAAGAAAAAAAGUUAAAACAAACAAACAAACAAACAAACAAAAACAAGAACAGAUAGAUAGGUUUAAGCUGAAGAGAUGGUGCUUGAAGGAAGAGUUUCCGCUGAAAAGAGCUAUUCCAGGCUAGGACAGGUUGGAAGUGGAUUUCCCAGAGGGCCAAGGGGAGGAAACCAGAUAGAGGCCACUCCAGUUAUUUACACUCAUGUGCUCUUCCCUGCCCAGAGGAAGGCUGCAUGGCACAAGAAGACAGGCACAGACUCGGUGUCCAGGUGUUCCUGGGGCAGGGCUGGCACUCUGCAAACUUCUGUUACUGAGUUACAGAAAGAGUGCACGCAGGAAGGGCCUCCACAGCCUUGCACACAAGGACCCCACCCCACAACCGAGUUGGGAAAAGAUACACAUUUUGUCCCCUGAAGUUCCUUUAAGUAUGCUUUGCGUCCUUACAUGAAAUGUUUAUAGGAAUCUGGAAUCAUCACAGACAAUCCCCCUCCAUUAAUAGUUGGAUCCCCCCAAAACCCACCUUGUCUGCCAGUUAGUUGGAAAGCUUUGUAACUUCAUGAGCCCAUUUCUACGAAAUAAUGGCCCGAGACAGAGAAUUUCUAGAGACAGAAAGCAGAUCAGUGGUUGCUGGGAGUAGGAAUGGGAAUUAACUGCAAACAAGCAAAAGGGAUCUUUGUGGGGUGAUGGGAAUGUUCUAAAACUAGACUGUGGUAAUGGUUGCAUAAGUCUGUAAAUAUACUAAAAGUUGUUGAAUCAUGUACUUAAAAUGCAUGAUAUGUAAAUUCUCUCUCAAUAAAGCUGUUAAAAAAUAAACACAUGAAAUG